CUCCACCAGCCACAUAGGACACCACCACUCCUCACUAAGGGGUGGUCGUCUGCGUCUUUGCACAUGGACCCUCUGAAAAGCACCAUUCACGGGAGAUCCCACCUGGCUCUUUUGACGUCAC